AGAGUUUGAUCCUGGCUCAGGAUAAACGCUGGCGGUGUACAUAAGACAUGCAAGUCGAACGGGAGAAGACAGGAAGAUUUAUCUACUUGUUGGACACCGUGGCGGACGGGUGAGUAACACGUAAGCAACCUGCCUAUAAGAGGGGAAUAACAGUGAGAAAUUACUGAUAAUACCGCAUAAGCUGGAGGUAUCGCAUGAUACAUUCAGAAAAGAUUUAUCGCUUAUAGAUGGGCUUGCGUCUGAUUAGCUAGUUGGUGAGAUAACAGCUCACCAAGGCGACGAUCAGUAGCCGGAUUGAGAGGUUGAACGGCCACAUUGGGACUGAGACACGGCCCAGACUCCUACGGGAGGCAGCAGUCGGGAAUAUUGCACAAUGGAGGAAACUCUGAUGCAGUGACACCGCGUAUAGGAAGAAGGUCUUAGGAUUGUAAGCUAUUGUCGUGUGAGAAGAAAAUGACCAUCACAGGAGGAAGCCCUGGCUAAAUAUGUGCCAGCAGCCGCGGUAAUACAUAUGGGGCGAGCGUUAUCCGGAUUUAUUGGGUGUAAAGGGUGCGUAGGCGGGAAAAUAAGUCAGUAUGUGAAAUCCCUCGGCUCAACUGAGGAACUGCAACUGAAACUAUUUUUCUUGAGUGUUGAAGGGGAAAGUGGAAUUCCUAGUGUAGCGGUGAAAUGCGUAGAGAUUAGGAGGAACACCAGUGGCGAAGGCGACUUUCUGGGCAACAACUGACGCUGAGGCACGAAAGUGUGGGGAGCAAACAGGAUUAGAUACCCUGGUAGUCCACACCGUAAACGAUGGAUACUAGGAGUUGGCAAAAAUAUUGUCGGUUCCGCAGUUAACGCAUUAAGUAUCCCACCUGGGGAGUACGACCGCAAGGUUAAAACUCAAAGGAAUUGACGGGGGCCCGCACAAGCAGUGGAGUAUGUGGUUUAAUUCGAAGCAACGCGAAGAACCUUACCAGGGCUUGACAUAUACAGGAAUAUAUAAGAGAUUAUAUAGCUCUACGGAGUCUGUAUACAGGUGGUGCAUGGUUGUCGUCAGCUCGUGUCGUGAGAUGUUGGGUUAAGUCCC
rnacentral:rRNA from 2 species